UACCAUGGUGGUAACGGCUAACGGGGUGUUAGGGCACGACACCGGAGAGGGAGCCUGAGAAACGGCUACCACAUCCAAGGAUGGCAGCAGGCGCGCAAAUUACCCAAUCCCGACACGGGGAGGUAGUGACAAUAAAUAACAAUACGGGGUUCUUUAGGAUCUCGUAAUUGGAAUGAGUACAAUUUAAAUCUCUUAACGAGGAACAAUUGGAGGGCAAGUCUGGUGCCAGCAGCCGCGGUAAUUCCAGCUCCAAUAGCGUAUAUUAAAGUUGUUGCAGUUAAAAAGCUCGUAGUUGAAUUUCGGGGUCAGUAGGUCGGUCGUGCCACUGGUAUGAACUGGUUUUACUGAUUCCUCCCUCUUGAAGAACUGUAAUGCCAUUAAUUUGGUGUUGCAGGGAAUCAGGACUGUUACUUUGAAAAAAUUAGAGUGUUUAAAGCAGGCUUUAGCUUGAAUACAUUAGCAUGGAAUAAUGAAAUAGGACGUUUGAUCCUAUUUUGUUGGUUUCUAGGAUUGACGUAAUGAUUAAUAGGGAUAGUUGGGGGCAUUAGUAUUCAAUUGUCAGAGGUGAAAUUCUUGGAUUUAUUGAAGACUAACUACUGCGAAAGCAUUUGCCAAGGAUGUUUUCAUUAAUCAAGAACGAAAGUUAGGGGAUCGAAGACGAUCAGAUACCGUCGUAGUCUUAACCAUAAACUAUGCCGACUAGGGAUCGGAUGAUGUUAAUUUUUUAAUGACUCAUUCGGCGCCUUACGGGAAACCAAAGUGUUU
rnacentral:rRNA from 1 species